UCCUCCGUGGCGCAAUUGGCUAGCGCGUCUGACUGUUACUCUACUGUGGUAGGAGCAAUCAGGAGGUUGACAGUUCAAGCCUGUCCGGGGGAG
rnacentral:tRNA from 1 species